rnacentral:rRNA from 1 species
UUGGGUAGGGGAGCGUUCUGUAAGCCUGCGAAGGUGUGCUGUGAGGCAUGCUGGAGGUAUCAGAAGUGCGAAUGCUGACAUAAGUAACGAUAAAGCGGGUGAAAAGCCCGCUCGCCGGAAGACCAAGGGUUCCUGUCCAACGUUAAUCGGGGCAGGGUGAGUCGACCCCUAAGGCGAGGCCGAAAGGCGUAGUCGAUGGGAAACAGGUUAAUAUUCCUGUACUUGGUGUUACUGCGAAGGGGGGACGGAGAAGGCUAUGUUGGCCGGGCGACGGUUGUCCCGGUUUAAGCGUGUAGGCUGGUUUUCCAGGCAAAUCCGGAAAAUCAAGGCUGAGGCGUGAUGACGAGGCACUACGGUGCUGAAGCAACAAAUGCCCUGCUUCCAGGAAAAGCCUCUAAGCAUCAGGUAACAUCAAAUCGUACCCCAAACCGACACAGGUGGUCAGGUAGAGAAUACCAAGGCGCUUGAGAGAACUCGGGUGAAGGAACUAGGCAAAAUGGUGCCGUAACUUCGGGAGAAGGCACGCUGAUAUGUAGGUGAAGUCCCUUGCGGAUGGAGCUGAAAUCAGUCGAAGAUACCAGCUGGCUGCAACUGUUUAUUAAAAACACAGCACUGUGCAAACACGAAAGUGGACGUAUACGGUGUGACGCCUGCCCGGUGCCGGAAGGUUAAUUGAUGGGGUCAGCGCAAGCGAAGCUCUUGAUCGAAGCCCCGGUAAACGGCGGCCGUAACUAUAACGGUCCUAAGGUAGCGAAAUUCCUUGUCGGGUAAGUUCCGACCUGCACGAAUGGCGUAAUGAUGGCCAGGCUGUCUCCACCCGAGACUCAGUGAAAUUGAACUCGCUGUGAAGAUGCAGUGUACCCGCGGCAAGACGGAAAGACCCCGUGAACCUUUACUAUAGCUUGACACUGAACAUUGAGCCUUGAUGUGUAGGAUAGGUGGGAGGCUUUGAAGUGUGGACGCCAGUCUGCAUGGAGCCGGCCUUGAAAUACCACCCUUUAAUGUUUGAUGUUCUAACGUGGACCCGUGAUCCGGGUUGCGGACAGUGUCUGGUGGGUAGUUUGACUGGGGCGGUCUCCUCCUAAAGAGUAACGGAGGAGCACGAAGGUUGGCUAAUCCUGGUCGGACAUCAGGAGGUUAGUGCAAUGGCAUAAGCCAGCUUGACUGCGAGCGUGACGGCGCGAGCAGGUGCGAAAGCAGGUCAUAGUGAUCCGGUGGUUCUGAAUGGAAGGGCCAUCGCUCAACGGAUAAAAGGUACUCCGGGGAUAACAGGCUGAUACCGCCCAAGAGUUCAUAUCGACGGCGGUGUUUGGCACCUCGAUGUCGGCUCAUCACAUCCUGGGGCUGAAGUAGGUCCCAAGGGUAUGGCUGUUCGCCAUUUAAAGUGGUACGCGAGCUGGGUUUAGAACGUCGUGAGACAGUUCGGUCCCUAUCUGCCGUGGGCGCUGGAG